GAAUUUUCCAGUGAUCACCAAAGGCUUCUGCAUCAGGUAUUGACACUUUCUACCCUCUUUGGUUUAUGCUUCUGUGUUGCAUUUCUAGUGCAACCUCUAAUAAAUCUGAGAGUGUCAAUGCUGAUGCAGAAGCCUUUGGUGAUCACUGGAAAAUU
rnacentral:pre_miRNA from 1 species